GAUGAACGCUAGCGGCAGGCUUAAUGCAUGCAAGUCGUGGGGCAGCAUGAAUGUAGCAAUACAUUUGAUGGCGACCGGCAAACGGGUGCGGAACACGUACACAACCUUCCUAUAAGUGGGGAAUAGCCCAGAGAAAUUUGGAUUAAUACCCCGUAACAUAACGAUGUGGCAUCACAUUGUUAUUAUAGCUUCGGCGCUUAUUGAUGGGUGUGCGGCUGAUUAGAUAGUUGGCGGGGUAACGGCCCACCAAGUCUACGAUCAGUAGCUGAUGUGGGAGACUGAUCAGCCACACGGGGACUGAGACACGGGCCCGAAUCCUACGGGAGGCAGCAGUAAGGUAUAUUGGUCAAUGGACGCAAGUCUGAACCAGCCAUGCCGCGUGAAGGAUUAAGGUCCUCUGGAUUGUAAACUUCUUUUAUCUGGGACGAAAAAAGGCUUUUCUAAGUCACUUGACGGUACCAGAUGAAUAAGCCCCGGCUAACUCCGUGCCAGCCGCCGCCGUAAGAC
rnacentral:rRNA from 1 species